rnacentral:rRNA from 1 species
GACGAACGCUGGCGGCGUGCUUAACACAUGCAAGUCGAACGGAAAGGCCCCUUUGGGGGUACUCGAGUGGCGAACGGGUGAGUAACACGUGAGUAACCUGCCCUUGACUUCGGGAUAACUUCAGGAAACUGGGGCUAAUACCGGAUAGGAAUCCUUGCUGCAUGGUGGGGGUUGGAAAGCGUCGGCGGUUUUGGAUGGACUCGCGGCUUAUCAGCUUGUUGGUGGGGUAGUGGCUUACCAAGGCCUUGACGGGUAGCCGGCCUGGGAGGGCGACCGGCCACAUUGGGACUGGGAUACGGCCCAGACUCCUACGGGAGGCAGCAGUGGGGAAUAUUGCACAAUGGGCGGAAGCCUGAUGCAGCAACGCCGCGUGCGGGAUGACGGCCUUCGGGUUGUAAACCGCUUUCAGCAGGGGCGAAGCUUGUGGUGACGGUACCUGCAGAAGAAGCACCGGCUAACUACGUG